UACGGGGGGGGCAAGCGUUGUUCGGAAUUACUGGGCGUAAAGGGCGCGUAGGCGGUUGGUUAAGUCAGCUGUGAAAACCACGAGCUCAACUUGUGGCCUGCAGUUGAAACUGUCUGGCUAGAGUGUGGGAGAGGGAAGUGGAAUUCCUGGUGUAGCGGUGAAAUGCGUAGAUAUCAGGAGGAACACCGGUGGCGAAGGCGGCUACCUGGACCACAACUGACGCUGAGGCACGAAAGCUAGGGGAGCAAACAGG
rnacentral:rRNA from 1 species